CUUCUCUACUUUAUCACUCUGAAAAUUUCACUUUUUAGUGGCUCCAUCAUCUGCUUUCACUUCUUUACAACUUCUUUUCAUGUUUCAUUCCUUUGAUUGAGUCUUUUAGUCACCUUUUCCAUCACAUCUCUCUUAUGACUUUUCAUUUGCCUAAUUUGUAACUUUGGGUUCCUAAAUUGACAUAUAUUUUAUAUGUUAUAGGCUUAAGAUUUAGGAAAGCCCAGUUGAAUUUAUUCCCUCUACCACAAGUUCUACUCCAUCUACAUCUCAGGUUAACAGCAGCUUGAUUUGAUUGAUAGAUUGAGUGCAAAAAGACUGAAAAAAGUCAACAAACAAAAUGAAAUAUAUGUAUUAAACACCUUCCAUAUACAAGGGAUACACAGUAUCCCAUUCAUCACCUCAUCAUAUUUUGAAAGGUGCAGAUGGCUCUCUCCAUCACAAGACUAUUAGAAUUUCCCUAAAUCACCUCAGUGUUGAAAAGAGUCAUGCCCAAUGUAGUUGAUCAUCACUUAAGUUUGUCACCAUGAUCUCCUAGUCCUGCUCGUUUCACUCAGCAGCAGUUCCUGUAAGUCUCUCCAGGCCUCUCUGAAAUCAUACUGCUGAUCGUUUCUUACAGAACAAUAAUAUUCCAUAACAUUCAUGUAUUAUGGCAUUCACCCAUUCUCCAACUGAUGGACAUCCACUCAGUUUCCAGUUCUCGCCACUAUGAAAAGGGCUAUGCAAUUCUUUGUCAUGACAAGAAUUGGAAGCUAAGGGGUACUCAUUAAAAAAUGAACAAAUGGUAUGUGAAUGUCCUUGAAUACUUUUGUGCUUAGAAACAAAGGCAUGGUUUCAGAGAAAACUGGGAAGAUUUGUAUGAAUUGAUUCUCAAUGAUCAGGAGAAAAAUUUAUAUAGCAACAAUAUGAAGAUAAACAACAAUAAAAGACUGAAGAACUCAUUCUGAUGACUAACCAUGACUUCAGAAGGAUGAAUAAAGCACUUAUUACCACCCCGACGACAAAAAGGUUAUGAUAACGGGUGCUGAGAGAUUUUUGGACAUGGCCAGUGUGGAAAGUGUUUUGCUUAUGCAUAUUAAGUUACAAGGGGUUUGUGGAUGUGUCUGUUUCAAUUGGGGAAGAGUGGAAGAAAAUUUUGUUGAAAAAAAUAAAAAAUUGGAAAGAUGCACCAUGGAAGUAUUAAAUGGUGCCAAAUUCACAGUUAUUUUAGAUCUAUUUAUAGAUAAC
rnacentral:lncRNA from 1 species